CUCACAGAAACCCUAUGUGUUGAAACCCUAUGUCUUAUUAUCCCCAUUUUACAGAUGGGGAGACCGAGGCACAGGGAAGGAAGGGAAGUAAAGUAGUGAAGAAUGGCUGUAUGCGGUGGAUAGGAGUUAGUUGCCUGCAUGUGUUGUAACAGAAGUUCACAAAGAAACAGCUUUUCUCCAGACAUUCUAGAACCAUAUAAAGAGCUGAAAAACUCCAAAAGCCUCACUGUGAAGUUAAAAAGCAGAGGAGAGCUUUGGAAAUGGGAAUGGGAAUGGAGGAAAGGUACGGGGAAGGUUCAGGAAGACAGAACAACACCAGUUGGUCAGACCUGGCUCAGCUGAAAAUGCUUUCGUGCCACUGUGGGAUCCCUCUCCUAGAUUAUUUGCAGAUGUGCAUGCUAAUGACAGAAGUCAUGUGAUGGAAUGACACUGUACAAGUGAGUCCGCGGGAUGACACCGAGUAACGCUCAGAGGAAGAUCAGUCAGUUUCCUCCGAGCAAAACCACCCAAGGACAAUCACUUUACAACAUGGGAUUCAAGACAGCAGGAAGAAUGGAGUAAAUAUUGCCUUGAAAUUAAGACAGCCGCACACGUAGAGUUUUAACAAGCAGGUGACACAAUUAGCUUGAUAAAAAGAAGACUCUGAGGUAGCUUCCGACGGAAAGUUAGAACGCUG
ensembl:lncRNA